CCUUUCAAGUGAGUGGCGAACGGGUGAGUAACACGUGGACAACCUGCCUCAAGGCUGGGGAUAACAUUUGGAAACAGAUGCUAAUACCGAAUAAAACUUAGUGUCGCAUGACACAAAGUUAAAAGGCGCUUCGGCGUCACCUAGAGAUGGAUCCGCGGUGCAUUAGUUAGUUGGUGGGGUAAAGGCCUACCAAGACAAUGAUGCAUAGCCGAGUUGAGAGACUGAUCGGCCACAUUGGGACUGAGACACGGCCCAAACUCCUACGGGAGGCUGCAGUAGGGAAUCUUCCACAAUGGGCGAAAGCCUGAUGGAGCAACGCCGCGUGUGUGAUGAAGGCUUUCGGGUCGUAAAGCACUGUUGUAUGGGAAGAACAGCUAGAAUAGGAAAUGAUUUUAGUUUGACGGUACCAUACCAGAAAGGGACGGCUAAAUACGUGCCAGCAGCCGCGGUAAUACGUAUGUCCCGAGCGUUAUCCGGAUUUAUUGGGCGUAAAGCGAGCGCAGACGGUUUAUUAAGUCUGAUGUGAAAGCCCGGAGCUCAACUCCGGAAUGGCAUUGGAAACUGGUUAACUUGAGUGCAGUAGAGGUAAGUGGAACUCCAUGUGUAGCGGUGGAAUGCGUAGAUAUAUGGAAGAACACCAGUGGCGAAGGCGGCUUACUGGACUGCAACUGACGUUGAGGCUCGAAAGUGUGGGUAGCAAACAGGAUUAGAUACCCUGGUAGUCCACACCGUAAACGAUGAACACUAGGUGUUAGGAGGUUUCCGCCUCUUAGUGCCGAAGCUAACGCAUUAAGUGUUCCGCCUGGGGAGUACGACCGCAAGGUUGAAACUCAAAGGAAUUGAC
rnacentral:rRNA from 1 species